rnacentral:rRNA from 1 species
GAGGAAUAUUGGGCAAUGCCCGCAAGGGUGACCCAGCAACGCCGCGUGGAGGAUGAAUGUCGUAAGAUUGUAAACUCCUGUUAGAGGGGAAGAAUAGUACCGGUUGGACCGGUAUAUGACUGUACCCUCAGAGAAAGCCCCGGCUAACUACGUGCCAGCAGCCGCGGUAAUACGUAGGGGGCAAGCGUUGUCCGGAUUUACUGGGUGUAAAGGGCGCGCAGGCGGGAUAAAAAGUCAGUGGUGAAAUCCUACAGCUUAACUGUAGAACUGCCUUUGAUACUUUUAUUCUUGAGUUCGGGAGAGAGAGACGGAAUUCCAGGUGUAGUGGUGAAAUACGUAGAUAUCUGGAAGAACACCAGUUGCGAAGGCGGUCUCUUGGUCCGACACUGACGCUGAGGCGCGAAAGCGUGGGGAGCAAAC